GACGAACGCUGGCGGCGUGCUUAACACAUGCAAGUCGAACGGAAAGGCCUUUUCGGAGGUACUCGAGUGGCGAACGGGUGAGUAACACGUGGGUGAUCUGCCCUGCACUCUGGGAUAAGCCUGGGAAACUGGGUCUAAUACCGGAUAGGACCGCACUUUAGUGUGUGUGGUGGAAAGUUUUUUCGGUGUAGGAUGAGCCCGCGGCCUAUCAGCUUGUUGGUGGGGUAAUGGCCUACCAAGGCGGCGACGGGUAGCCGGACUGAGAGGUUGGUCGGCCACAUUGGGACUGAGAUACGGCCCAGGCUCCUACGGGAGGCAGCAGUGGGGAAUAUUGCACAAUGGGCGCAAGCCGGAUGCAGCGACGCCGCGGGGGGGAUGACGGCCUUCGGGUUGUAAACUCCUUUCGCCAGGGACGAAGCGUUUUGUGACGGUACCUGGAGAAGAAGCACCGGCUAACUACGUG
rnacentral:rRNA from 1 species